rnacentral:tRNA from 1 species
CGCGAGGAGGCGCAUGUCGCGGGCUCAUAACCCGAAGGUCGCGGGUUCGAAUCCCGCCCCCGCUA